rnacentral:rRNA from 1 species
GGCGAACGCUGGCGGCGUGCCUAAUACAUGCCAGUCGAGCGGACGAUUCGAAAGCUUGCUUUUGAAUCGUUAGCGGCGGACGGGUGAGUAACACGUGGGCAACCUGCCCUGUAGACGGGGAUAACACCGAGAAAUCGGUGCUAAUACCGGAUAACACGAAAUGUCGCAUGACGUUUCGUUGAAAGGCGGCACAAGCUGCCGCUACAGGAUGGGCCCGCGGCGCAUUAGCUAGUUGGUGAGGUAACGGCUCACCAAGGCGACGAUGCGUAGCCGACCUGAGAGGGUGAUCGGCCACACUGGGACUGAGACACGGCCCAGACUCCUACGGGAGGCAGCAGUAGGGAAUCUUCCGCAAUGGACGAAAGUCUGACGGAGCAACGCCGCGUGAGCGAAGAAGGCCUUCGGGUCGUAAAGCUCUGUUGUUAGGGAAGAACAAGUAACGUAGUAACUGACGUUACUAUGACGGUACCUAACGAGAAAGCCACGGCUAACUACGUG